GAUGAAGAACGUAGCGAAAUGCGAUAAGUAAUGUGAAUUGCAGAAUUCAGUGAAUCAUCGAAUCUUUGAACGCACAUUGCGCCCGCCAGUAUUCUGGCGGGCAUGCCUGUUCGAGCGUCGUUUCAACCAUCAAGCCCCAGGCUUGUGUUGGAGCCCUGCGGCUGCCGCAGCCUCCCAAAACCAGUGGCGGGCUCGCUAUCACACCGAGUGCAGUAGUUUACUCUUCGCUCAGGGCGUGUGGCGGGUGCUAGCCGUAAAACCCCCAACUUCUCAAGGUUGACCUCGGAUCAGGUAGGAAUACCCGCUGAACUUAAGCAUAUCAAUAAGCGGAGGA
rnacentral:misc_RNA from 1 species